rnacentral:rRNA from 1 species
UACGAAGGGGGCUAGCGUUGCUCGGAAUUACUGGGCGUAAAGCGCACGUAGGCGGGUCAAUAAGUCGGGGGUGAAAUCCUGGAGCUCAACUCAAGAAAUGCACUCGGUACUGGGUGACUAGAGGACCGGAGAGGAUAGUGGAAUUCCCAGUGUAGUGGUGAAAUACGUAGAGAUUGGGAAGAACACCAGUGGCGAAGGCGGCUAUCUGGACGGUUUCUGACGCUAAGACGUGAAAGCGUGGGGAGCAAACAGG